CCCGCCCCACACGUGCCCCGCCCCACACGAGCUGCCGCGCGCCGCUGCAAUGGCCCCACCCACCGACAAACGCCGGGGAAGCGGAAAGAGCGGGAGCUGGCGUGGGACGGGAGAGGGAAGGCUGGGUGCGUUCCCCUCCUAGAAAGGGUGGGGAAGCAAAACCCUUUGCAGCUCCUGGUCUAGAAGGAUCCUUCGUGGUGGGACGCUGGGUCUGAGGUUCCGGGCACACACAGAGAACAAACCGAGGAGAAAAAAACGCACCCUACCAAUAAAUUACGGUGAAAGGACCUUGCCUUAGAAAAGGAAAUGCCCAGGCUUCAUCUGAGCCCUGGGAUGGUGGGGGAAGAGUUGUAGGAAACAAAUGGCUUGAGGGGCUUAACACAACCCAGUCUCCGCCCCCCCCAACCCGGCUCAAGUCUUGACAACGUUCCUUCCGGUCAGCCUGUCCCCUUGCCACAGUCCAUGAAGUGACACCAUUCUUAAGGCUUCUCAAAAGCACCGUUAUUUCAGUUAAUUCCAGCAAGCUGGACUACACUUAACAUAUGCCCUUUGGUGGAGUGGAGACGACUUGUCUGUCCUGUCCAAGCUUAAAUACCAAGGGAAUGACUUUAAAUCUUGCUGGAUGGAACUGCCACUCACCGCUAGAAAUCGGGGAUCAACAGCGAACUCUGGAUGACCCUGUAACCACAUCUCCAGUUCAGCCCGGCGAGGGGCAUCCUCACCCACCAGCAAAGUACCAUCCACCUUAUUGAUGACAGGGAUCCGGGUCUCCAGGUCCACAUCAAGGUGAUUAGGCUCUUCCAUGCACUCCACCUCCAGCUGCAAACCCAGAAUCCACCCCCAUGAGCACAUACUCUUCUUUGGGGCAGGGAGGGAGGGGGAGUAGAGCCAAUGGUAGCCAUAAAAUAAUUCUAGUAUCUUCUAGUCCCUUAAUCCCAACUGCCUUCAUCAAUUAGUAGGAAUAAAAAAAAAUCUAAUCAUCACAUUAAAGACUUUUUCUAUCACUCA